GACGAACGCUGGCGGCGUGCCUAAUACAUGCAAGUAGAACGCUGAAGGAGGAGCUUGCUCUUCUGGAUGAGUUGCGAACGGGUGAGUAACGCGUAGGUAACCUGCCUGGUAGCGGGGGAUAACUAUUGGAAACGAUAGCUAAUACCGCAUAAGAGUAGAUGUUGCAUGACAUUUACUUAAAAGGUGCAAUUGCAUCACUACCAGAUGGACCUGCGUUGUAUUAGCUAGUUGGUGGGGUAACGGCUUACCAAGGCGACGAUACAUAGCCGACCUGAGAGGGUGAGCGGCCACACUGGGAGUGAGACACGGCCCAGACUCCUACGGGAGGCAGCAGUAGGGAAUCUUCGGCAAUGGACGGAAGUCUGACCGAGCAACGCCGCGGGAGGGAAGAAGGUUUUCGGAUCGUAAAGCUCUGUUGUAAGAGAAGAACGAGUGUGAGAGUGGAAAGUUCACACUGUGACGGUAUCUUACCAGAAAGGGACGGCUAACUACGUG
rnacentral:rRNA from 1 species